rnacentral:misc_RNA from 1 species
GAUGAAGAACGCAGCGAAAUACGAUAAGUAGUGUGAAUUGCAGAAUUCAGUGAAUCAUCGAAUCUUUGAACGCACAUUGCGCCCCUUGGUAUUCCAUGGGGCAUGCCUGUUCGAGCGUCAUUUGUACCUUCAAGCUUUGCUUGGUGUUGGGUGUUUGUCUCGCCUCCGCGUGUAGACUCGCCUCAAAACAAUUGGCAGCCGGCGUAUUGAUUUCGGAGCGCAGUACAUCUCGCGCUUUGCACUCACAACGACGACGUCCAAAAGUACAUUUUUACACUCUUGACCUCGGAUCAGGUAGGGAUACCCGCUGAACUUAAGCAUAUCAAUAAGCGGAGGA